rnacentral:rRNA from 1 species
AGUGAACGCUGGCGGUAGGCCUAACACAUGCAAGUCGAACGGCAGCACAGUAAGAGCUUGCUCUUACGGGUGGCGAGUGGCGGACGGGUGAGGAAUACAUCGGAAUCUACUUUUUCGUGGGGGAUAACGUAGGGAAACUUACGCUAAUACCGCAUACGACCUACGGGUGAAAGCAGGGGAUCUUCGGACCUUGCGCGAUUGAAUGAGCCGAUGUCGGAUUAGCUAGUUGGCGGGGUAAAGGCCCACCAAGGCGACGAUCCGUAGCUGGUCUGAGAGGAUGAGCCGCCACACGGGAACUGAGACCCGGCCCGGGCCCCGAGGAGGGGCAGAAGUGGAGAAAAUUGGACAAGGGGCCCAAGUCUGCACCGGCCACCCCGCGUGGGGGAAAAAGGCCUGCGGUGUAGAAAGCCUUUUUGUUGGAAAAAAAACCCGCCCGGAAAAUCCCGGGUGGGAAUGCCGGUACCAAAAAAAAAACCCCCGGCAACUUUCG